GACGAACGCUGGCGGCGUGCUUAACACAUGCAAGUCGAACGGAAAGGCCCCUUUGGGGGUACUCGAGUGGCGAACGGGUGAGUAACACGUGAGUAACCUGCCCUUGACUUCGGGAUAACUUCAGGAAACUGGGGCUAAUACCGGAUAGGAAUCCUUGCUGCAUGGUGGGGGUUGGAAAGCUUCGGCGGUUUUGGAUGGACUCGCGGCUUAUCAGCUUGUUGGUGGGGUAGUGGCUUACCAAGGCUUUGACGGGUAGCCGGCCGGAGAGGGCGACCGGCCACAGUGGGAGUGAGAAACGCCCCAGCCUCCUCGGGGGGGCGGCAGGGGGGAGUAUUACAGGAUGGGGGGGGCCAGGAGGCGGCAGCGCCGCGGGGGGGAUGAUGGCGUUGGGGUGAUAGCCCGUUUCGGGCAGGGGGGAAGCUUGAGAUGACGGUACCUGCAGAAGAAGCCACGGCUAACUACGUG
rnacentral:rRNA from 1 species